GACGAACGCUGGCGGCGUGCCUAAUACAUGCAAGUCGAACGAAGCUGUUUUAACUGGUGCUUGCACCGACUUAAACAACUGAGUGGCGAACGGGUGAGUAACACGUGGGUAACCUGCCCCAAAGCGGGGGAUAACAUUUGGAAACAGAUGCUAAUAACGCAUAACCACAGAAACCACAUGGUUUCUGUGUCAAAGAUGGUUUCGGCUAUCACCUUGGGAUGGACCCGCGGCGUAUUAGCUAGUUGGUAAGGUAAUGGCUUACCAAGGCAAUGAUACGUAGCCGAACUGAGAGGUUGAUCGGCCACAUUGGGACUGAGACACGGCCCAAACUCCUACGGGAGGCAGCAGUAGGGAAUCUUCCACAAUAGACGAAAGUCUGAUGGAGCAACGCCGCGUGAGUGAAGAAGGUUUUCGGAUCGUAAAACUCUGUUGUCAGAGAAGAACGUGUGCGAGAGUAACUGUUCGUGCAGUGACGGUAUCUGGCCAGAAAGCCACGGCUAACUACGUGCCAGCAGCCGCCGCCG
rnacentral:rRNA from 1 species